AAUAUACGCCAGCCAAUCCAUCAAAAGUACUGGUAUAGAGAUUUUCCCUCGGUGAUUUCAUAAUUGGGUAGAAAAAGAACUCUUAAUAUCAAGAAGGGAUCAAAAGUAAAACAGUUGAUCAAUUAUCCAAGUAAAAGGAAAACACCAAGCAUGAGAGUUUCAUCAAAUUCAUCGUCCUCACGUAAGUCAUCACUAUCAGAAGUGGCAUUGAACAAGGAAGUAGGUCAAGACCACACAAUUUCCAGUACCUCUUCUGAUUACCCCAACAUGCAGCGUUCUGUCUUGGACGCCGGGAAGUCCAAGGAAUAUUUAACCGACGAAAAAGAAAUCUGUAUCACACCUGUAAAUGACAAGGGCACACAAACAGAUAUUGCAAUGGCAGAGAUGGAUAUUUUGUUCCGCUUCACUAAAGAUUUCAAUCCAAAAAAUCAGAAUCAACGGAUGAUCCCACCGUUCCCUCCUUUCAUUCCACAAUUCCUGAAGGAUAAAUUGAAACAAGCCGGAGCAGACUUGUACAGAAUGAACUAAUUUUGACGAGGGGAACGGGGAGAAAGAGUGAUGGAAUACAAUGUAAGAAAAAGGUCUACAAAAGGAAAAAAACUACAUCAUAGAUAAUCACUCAUAUAAUUAUGUAUACACGAAUUGAACUUACGUGACCUGAUAUUUAUCCAUCUUCAUCCUUUCUGUCUUACAAAACAAUUGUUCUUACAGUGUUGUACGUGUUCUUCUUUUACUCAAUUAUUUACGAAGGUGACUGGAGUUUUCUUAUACACAUUCCCCCUAUAUGAACGUAUUUGAAUUAACUAUUAACUAAUUAUUGUAAACUGUAUCAGUAUAAUUGGUAAUAAAGAAUUGUAUGUUGUAA